rnacentral:lncRNA from 1 species
GGCUGGCGUUCUGGGAGUCCUUGGGGACAAGCCUUCACAGAACCCACAAGCUGUGCGGACAGGUCCUCAGAGGCCUAGGGAGGCUGCAGGUCAUGGCAGUCAGGGAGAAAAUGACCUCUGUCCUGGCCGGAGCUCGGAUGAGAGGUUCUGGUUGCUAGGACACCAAAGAACGUGGGCAAGUGGGCGUGGAGCCUGGCAUGGGGCAGGGUGGGUGCUCAAUUAAAACUUGCUGAGUGUUUGAACAAAGGGUCCUUCAGUUAUGUCAGAGCGAUGACCCCUUCCAAGAGGCAUGUGGCAAAGGUCUGGAAAUAAAACAGUUGUUAUAAAAACAAAAGACCUGAAGAUCUGGCCUUUUGAGUGGAAGAGGACACAUGCCACUCCAAAGGGUGUUCCUUGCUUUCCAGAGGAUUUGCUGUCUCCAGGAAGCGACCCUGCCCUUCGGUCACCAGGCAGUACCUGAGAUUUGGCACUGCUGAGUUCUGAUGGCGGAACUCUCAGUCAGACGAUUUCAGGACAAACUUGUCACUGGACAUUCUCUGAAUGGCUCAUUGGAGCCAGAAGCCAAUUAACAUGAUUGGAAAUGACCAUUAGCAUUUUUUUCCCUCUCAAAUAAACUGGUGUCAAUGAUUAAAUCAGUUUUUUGUAAAGUGCCAUUCACCCACUUUGCCCAGACAAUCAUUUUCCAUGCUGCAUAAAUAGCUGAGAAGGAUAACCAGGUCACCUUUCCUCUCUAGCUCUAGGAAGGACCAGGCGCUAUUUGUCUCUGUGUCUGGCUUACUGACUUAGCAGAGUGUCCUCAAGGUUCAUCCAAGACAGAGCAGAUGUCAGAAUUCCCUUCCUUCUCAAGGCUGAAUAAUAUUCUGUUGUGUGUACAUACACAUUUUGCUCAUCCAUUCCUCUGCUGAUGGACGCUGGACACUGAGGUUGCGUUCGCAUUUUGGCUAUUGUGAAUAACGCUGCUGUGCGUAUGGCAGUAGAAAUGCCAGUUCCAGCGCCUGCUGUCAGUUCUCUAACCCAGGCAUGCACUGCUGAAUCAUAUGGUAAUCCAAGGUUAAUUUUUUGAGCACCUGCCAUAUGGCUUUCCAUGGUGGUGGCACCAUUCCCACCAGCAAAGCACAAGGGCUCUGGUUUCUCCAUGUGUUCACCAGAACUUGCUAUGUUCUGUUUUUCUGAUAAUAGUCACCCCAGUAGUUGUGAGGUGAUAGUUUGUGGUUUUCACAUGUAUUUCCCUAAUCAUCGGUGAGGCUGAGCAUCUUUUCAUGUGUUCAUUGGCCAUUUGUGUAUCUUUGGAGAAAUGUUUAUUCAAGUCCUUUGCACAUUUAAAAUUUUGUUGUUGUUGAGUUGUAGGAGAUCUUUACACAUUCUGGAUAUUAAGCACUUGUCAGACAUAAUUUUCCAGUUAACUUUCUUUUAGUCCCUGUUAGGGAAUGUGAUUAAAAAAAAAAAAAAAAAAAAAAAAAAACGUGACUGCCGGUUGACCUGUGAGCUGGGCCCAGGCACUGGAAGCUCCUCAGCCCUUCCCCUGUCCUUGGAAUGUGGGUUCCACUUCUCCUUCCUGCUCACAGAAACUGCUCCAAGGACAUAGUCUUGAGAUGGUGUUGUGAUGCUGAGAACACCUGCAUGAUUAUGUGACUGAGCCCAGUUAGGGCCUCUACGUUUUUUUAAAAAACAAAACAAAACAAUUUAUAUAUUUAUUUAUUUGAGAGAAAGAGAGAGUGUACAUGAGCAGGGGAAGGGAGGGGCAGAGGGUGAGGGACAAGCAGACUCCCUGCUGAGUGUAAAGCCCCAUGUGGGGCUUGAUCCCACAACCCUAAGAUCAUGACCUGAGUCAAAAUUAAGAGUUGGAUGCCCUACAAGCUGAGCCACCCAGAUGUCCUUUUAAGCUUUUAAGGGAUGCCUGGGUGGCUCAGUGGUUGAGCGUCUGCCUUUGGCUCAGGGCUUGAUCUUGGAGUCUCAGAAUCGAGUUCCUCAUCAGGCUUUCCGUGGGGAGCCUGCUUCUUCAUCUGCCUAUGUUUCUGCUUCUCUCUGUGUGUGUGUCUCUCAUGAAUAAAUAAAUAAAAUCUUUAAAAAAAGUGAUCUGGUGCGUGGGUCUGGGGAUCCACUCAUCUUGCUGCCACCCAAGACAAGACUCAUAUAUAAGUUCUCUUUGCCAUCUACUACUCAGAGUGGCCUGCCUCUUUGGUCUCUCCCUGCUCUCUGUUCCAG